GAACGUUGCGCAACGAGGUUUAGUCCGAGAACACACAUAGACUGGGUAGGAGAGGAUUGGACGUCGAGAGAGCCGGAAGGCGCGGAGGUUUGGAGCUACGCGGAGAGAGUGAACUAACGGUGGCCGGAAAACAUAGUGAGCUACCCUGGCGAGACGCGGGUCAAAGCCGACCUGCUGGACUUUGUCGGUGCGAGCCAAGAAGAAGUUAAUGACCCCGUCAGUCACAACACAGUUGGGGAAGCCUUGGAUGAUGUGAUGAAAUCCUCUCCUCAUGUGUAAACAGUCACCAUUCUCCUCCCCUGGCUCAAUGGAGAUGGUCUGUCUAUCCAGAGUGGUUCUCUCUAAAACAUCCACAAGUCUCUCCAGCUUGGUGUUGGCUGUGAAGAUGAAGUCGUCGUCUACCCACAGCACGUACUUUGUGGUCACCUGAGAGACGGCCAGGUUUCGUCCAGCAAACCAACCCUAUGACAAAAGACAGAGCUCCAAUACCAAAGAGCAGACAUGUGAAAUUAAAAGAGUUUAGCGUGUGUCUCGCACUUCCCUACCUUUCCAAAAGGCAUGAUGUAAUGUUCGAUGUGAGGCCCGGAGAUGGUUUGGGGAUUUUCACUGUCAUCAGCGAUUACUAUGGUGACAGUGGGGUAGUAUCGUCUCACACUGUCGAUAAGAUCUUGAAGCUUGUCAUAGCGCAGGAAAGUCUUCGUGGCUAUGGUAACAAGGGCACUGACAUUGUACUCUGCAAAGAAAGAAUAUCAAUUUAGCGUUUUAGGUGAUAUUUCACAAAUAGCAGGCACAUUGUUCAACAAUGGCAUGAUUUUUGACUUAGACACUAUUGAUGUUGUGUUUUUACCUCCUUUGGAUCCUGUGUUAUACAGUUUGGGUGUUACACCGUGACGAAUCUUGAUACUGAAGAUGGCUUGAUGCCCCUCUGUCUCAAACUGCACUAAAAUAUACAACAAAAAGAUACUUUUAAUGAAUUUGACCGGUGUAAUAAGAUCUUACUGUGGCUCAUCCUCCCCUGUUGUUAAUAUGCUGAUAUACUAAUAUAUUAAUAAUGAUUAACACCUGCUAAAAGCUUGACAGACAAUUCAGAGAGGUACAUUUGGUCUUUGGUUUUUGCCUGUCCUCAGGCUUUGUCCCUGUUCACCACUUUUCUGUAUUGAAGCAAAAAGAACAAGUCAUUUACCUCUCCCACUGAAUAUUCAAAGUCAACCUAAAAAAACAGUAUGUAUUAUUAGGCUGCCCCCUGAUAAGAUGCCCAGCUGUUUGACAAAUAAAUAGUGUCUAAACCUUUGCAAAUAUUUACUCAUGCCUGGAUUAUAACAUCAGUGUCAUUACCAACAGCAGGUGCGAAUCCAUUAAAAGAAAAAAAAAACCAA